ACCAUUCGGACUAACUUUUGUUUGAUGAAUUUGUCGAUUUUGGCAGGCAUGCAGUUCUGAGAUUGCAUCUUUAUACAAUAGCUCAAUGCUUUGUGUAACUCCAAAUUCUGAAUAGACAUUCAGUUUUUCCCCAUUAAUAAUUAGACAACAUUUGACAUCUCUGUUAGUUAUAGUAAAUAAGCAUACAUUCGGAUGGUUCUUAUACAAGGUAAAUAUAAUUCAGGAUACAAAAUAAACCCUCAAGCUGUUAUCCUUUAUCUUACAGAAAAUAAAAAGUUUCAGCAUAUCAAUAUCAUAAAUCGUAAUAGCCAAUUUAUUUUACUACCUUCAAUUUUUUGUGGUGUAUUAUCAAAUCAGUACAAAUCAGAACAUCCAAUGGAUUACUUGGCACAAGUCCAUCGUGAUUUAUGACAAGGAUCUAUUCAAACUAUCUCCGAACUUUUCUUAUUGCUUUCCGUAUAUGCUAGGUUCUGAAUAAGUCAGCUAAUUUCUGGUUAUAUUUCUGGGGGGCACCGAGAUGCUAUCCUCUGUAGAGAUGUUUAAGGUUAUAGUGUCAGAUGGUAAUAUUUGGUAACUUUGCAAAUGUCAUUUCAUGGCACGUCCAAUCCAUAUAUCAAUCAGAAUUUUUAAAGUGUAGGGAUGAAAAAUAAAAUAAGCCUUUCUGAGGUGUACAACUGAGAAAUGAGUUGGGCAUACUUAAUCUUCCGAUGUAUGUAUAUAUGUUUUGUAUACUGCAAAUGAAACAAAAUGAAGUGUUUACAUGUUCAUCUAUCUGCUUGUACUCUAAAAUUUAAGAAUACAAGUUGUGAACUACACUUUCUUUUAUUCAGUAAUUCUGAAUUAGUUGACUUGGGGAUUACAUUUUCUUUCAUCCAAUAAUCCUGACUCAAUUGAGUUCUUAUCUAAAAAUGGUGUACCAACAGUUCCAGAAAGUGACAGGAUAAUUUACUUUUCAUAUGCCCUUUCUGAAAUGAUGAAAUUUUAAAUUACUUGGUGACUGCAGUCCUAAACCAUUUAUUUAUAUUGUGAAAUCCAUCUCUGUUGAUGCAUCUAUCAACAUUAUUAUUUAAUCUCUCAUAUGUUAUUUCACUAUACAUACACAUUAAAUGAACAUCUAAUAAAACUUUGUAAAAAAAAGAACUACAUAUUCACUACUGUUACAAAUCACUUCCAUAGCUGUUGCUACUCUUCAAUGCUCGGGGGCCUAUAUUUGGAGAACAUGAACUGCUACAUUGUUUUUUUUAUUUUUUGCAGAUCCCAAAUAUCAGAAAUCAACAAAUCAACCAGACACAAGGAGAAAAAAAAAGGAAAAUAAAGCCUGACCAGGCCAAUCUACAGCUUCCAUCAGCAAAACUUCUGGAAGAAACUGAUGAUCAUAUUACACACGUUCAAGUAACAAUUUGCAAGGCUGGCCGAUGGUCAAUAGCAAGCAAAACAUCCUUGCAAACCUGCAUGAUCUCAUUCUUCAUGUGCUACAUUAGUAAAUAUCAUAAUCUAGCAUUGUCGUUCAUCCAAUAUUGCCAUCUACCUUUUUUUUAUUUUUUUUUACCAUAAGAUUUUCAGAGUUAUUCUGUUGUGGUCAACAGACAGAAAAUGCCUAGUAGGAGCUAUACCAUGUUACCUGCUUGGACCACGACAUACGAGAGAAUGGACAGAGGGGCAAACUGUACGAGAUUAUGGAAUAUUUCUUUCUCAAUAUUUCCUAGCAACCCAAAUUUAAUUUUGUUACUAUCGACAGAUAUGUAUCCGGGCUCAUGGUAUUCAUGCUGGCCAAUCGAGGCCGAAGCGCGGCAACGCCGUUUUGAA